AGAGACAGGCUGAAGUGGUGCAAUCACAGCUUACUGUAGUCUUGACCUACUGGGCUCAAGCAAUCCUCCUGCCUCAGCCUCCUGAGUAACUAGGACUACAGGGCAGCCUUGAACAUACCAGAAAGCAAUAGGAAAAAACUGGAGAAAGUGAAAAUGCUGCGAUGAAGGAAAAGAGGAGACAAACAAGGGUGACAUUGGCUGGGCAGCAAAGAUGACCAAAAGAUUUUAAGGUCCUUGAGGGAUUGCAUCAUGUCUGCAGUGCUCCCUGCUAUGUCUUCAGCCAACUGCUAGCACAAGGUUCUGACUCUGUCACCCAGGCUGGAGUUCAGUGGUGCGACCUUGGCUCACUGCAUCCUCGACCUCCUGGGCUCAAGUGAUCCUCACACCUCAGCCUACCAAGUAGCUAGGACUACAGGUGUGUACUCCACCACGCCCAGCUAAUUUUGUCUAUUUUUUCAGAGACAGGGUCUCACUUUGCUGCCUAGGCUGGUCUCAAACUCCUGGCCCCAAGCAAUCCUCCUUCCUUGGCCUCCCAAAGUGUUGGGAUUAUAGAUGUGAACCACUGCACCUAGCCUUAGAUUCAUUUUAAUAAGCUUUUUAAAACAGCUCACUCUUGUUCCUAUCAUUUCUGUGGUAAGCUUCAGAGCAGUGUUGAUAUCUAAAGUCAUAUUCAAAGUUAUUCAACUUGACAGGCCCUAAUGUCAGUAUUAAAACCACAUGAGUCUUCAUUUGAAUAUCACCACCGUAAACUCACACUGCGACUUUCCUUCCUGAGCUUAGUAUGCAUUUUCCAUAAGCAAUGAAAACAUCUGACAACAUGGGUCCCAGAAAAUGUAUACAUGUGGGCUACAUCAUCUCCUCACAGUUUGAUUAAUAAUUUUUAUUAAAUAAACUAUGUAACGUUUUGUGCCAUAUGGCUUGGGAAAGUUCCUAGACAUCAGGAAAUCAGCAUGUUCUCAAGCAAAUACACUUGAUAGACAUUCAUCUCAGCAGGAUAAAUAUCUACAGGAGAAAAUCAUGAAGCUACUGGAAUGUGGCCAAAGGGAAAAAUAUCCUAUGAUCAUUCCAGAUUUUUUGUGUUGGUUCUCCUCUCCUAUUCCCAUCCUGUCCCUGGAGAAAACAAUAAGGCAAAGUUUCCUUUUUUUUUUUUGAGACAGGAUCUCCCUCUGCCACCUAGACUGGAGUGUAGUGACUCUAUCUCCACUCAAUGCAGCCUCAAGCAGUCCUCCAACCUAAGCCUCCCAAGUAGCUGGGACUACAGAGACACACCACCACGCUAAUUUUUUAGGUUUUUUUGUUUGUUGGUUUGUUUGUUUGUUUUUGUAGAGACAGGGUCUCACUAUGUUGCCCAGGCUGGUCUUGAACCCCUGGGCUCAAAUGAUCCUCCUUCCUCGGCCUCCCAAAGUUUUGGGAUUACAGGCAUGAGCAACCACAUCCAGUGCAAAUUUUUUUAUACCAAGGCAAAGAUGAUCAUGCAAAAGAAACCAAUGAAUGAACAAGCAGUUGGAACAAAAACAAUUUGUUAAUGCUUCCCUGGCCUUACAAAUACUGGAGUGGUAAUGGGUGGAAUCCAUUCUAUUAAAAUAGGACUACUAUGUGGGGGUUUAGAUAUUCUUCUACCACCUCUGAUUUUUCUGGAAACCAUUACAGUUCCACAAUCCUUUUCCCUCCAGGUGAUCUGGGUCACUUUCAUCACUGUCAGUUCAUCCACUAUUUGCACCAUUUGGCCAUCUAAGAGUUGGCAAAAAGUGCAGCCAGGUGUAUCGUAAUGAUGCAAGACUAUAGCAGUAUAACCCCCAUGAUGCAUUCACAGGAUGCAUUACAGAGAAAGGGAAGGAAAGAGUGCAAUUCCAAUGAUGAACUUUGACUUGCAACCCACACUCCCUUCAACAAACAGCUUUAAGUAAAUCUUGGAAAUAUUAUUCAAAAUACAUGUGACAAAACGUGAACAUCUUUCGUCUGUUAUGUGGAGGGUAUGAUCCUUUCUGUAUUCCUAACAUCUCUCAAUUUGGGUUGAACUUGCAGUCCCUAAGUUAUAAGCAAGUGCCAGUCACCACUUAUGGUUGCUCCUAAGAGAAAAUUAGACCUUGCUUUAGUUUUUUCUUCCAAAAAAACAACUUUUCAUUUCUUAACCAUUGUCAUCAAUUUCCAUAGGCUGGAUUGACUUACCUUCAU